GAUGAAGAACGUAGCGAAAUGCGAUAAGUAAUGUGAAUUGCAGAAUUCAGUGAAUCAUCGAAUCUUUGAACGCACAUUGCGCCCGCCAGUAUUCUGGCGGGCAUGCCUGUUCGAGCGUCAUUUCAACCAUCAAGCCCCAGGCUUGUGUUGGGGACCUGCGGCUGCCGCAGGCCCUGAAAACCAGUGGCGGGCUCGCUGUCACACCGGGCGUAGUAGAUUUUAUCUCGCUCUGGGCGGGCUGCGGGUUCCGGCCGUUAAAAAACCCUUUUAACCCAAGGUUGACCUCGGAUCAGGUAGGAAUACCCGCUGAACUUAAGCAUAUCAAUAAGCGGAGGA
rnacentral:misc_RNA from 1 species